AUACACAAUAAUAUAUACGUGAUGACAGU
rnacentral:guide_RNA from 1 species